rnacentral:rRNA from 1 species
AGUGAACGCUGGCGGUAGGCCUAACACAUGCAAGUCGAACGGCAGCACAGUAAGAGCUUGCUCUUACGGGUGGCGAGUGGCGGACGGGUGAGGAAUACAUCGGAAUCUACUUUUUCGUGGGGGAUAACGUAGGGAAACUUACGCUAAUACCGCAUACGACCUACGGGUGAAAGCAGGGGAUCUUCGGACCUUGCGCGAUUGAAUGAGCCGAUGUCGGAUUAGCUAGUUGGCGGGGUAAAGGCCCACCAAGGCGACGAUCCGUAGCUGGUCUGAGAGGAUGAUCAGCCACACUGGAACUGAGACACGGUCCAGACUCCUACGGGAGGCAGCAGUGGGGAAUAUUGGACAAUGGGCGCAAGCCUGAUCCAGCCAUACCGCGUGGGUGAAGAAGGCCUGCGGGUUGUAAAGCCCUUUUGUUGGGAAAGAAAAGCAGCAGGUUAAUACCCCGCUGUUCGGACGGUACCCAAAGAAUAAGCACCGGCUAACUUCGG